GACGAACGCUGGCGGCGUGCUUAACACAUGCAAGUCGAACGGUAAGGCCCUUCGGGGUACACGAGUGGCGAACGGGUGAGUAACACGUGGGUGAUCUGCCCUGCACUUCGGGAUAAGCCUGGGAAACUGGGUCUAAUACCGGAUAGGACUCCUGGCUUCAUGGUUGGGGGGGGAAAGCUUUUGCGGUGUGGGAUGGGCCCGCGGCCUAUCAGCUUGUUGGUGGGGUAAUGGCCUACCAAGGCGACGACGGGUAGCCGGCCUGAGAGGGUGACCGGUCACACUGGGACAGGGAUACGGCCCAGACUCCUACGGGGGGCAGCAGUGGGGAAUAUUGCACAAUGGGCGCAAGCCUGAUGCAGCGACGCCGCGUGAGGGAUGACGGCCUUCGGGUUGUAAACCUCUUUCAGCUAUGACGAAGCGCAAGUGACGGUAGUAGCAGAAGAAGGACCGGCCAACUACGUGCCAGCCGCCGCAGUAA
rnacentral:rRNA from 1 species